rnacentral:lncRNA from 1 species
CUCUCUUUUGCUUUACUCUCAUCUCAGGUACAUGUCAAUUAUUUUGAAUAAAAAUAAAAAUUAAUUAUAUUAUUAUUGUAAUAAUAAUUAUAUAUAUAAAAGAAAGAAACGUUCGGCCAACCCCAAAGAUUUUUUUGUAAUUAUUGUUUUCUCUACUAAUUUUUGUAUUAUAAUUUUUCUUUGUUUUCUUCGUUCUUAUCUCCGUGCAUCUUAAAAAUAAUUUUUUUUUCUUGUAUUUUUUUACUCUAUGAAUUUUUUUAAUUAUUAUUAUUUUCUUUAUUGAUUGAUUCAUUUGUUUAACAGUAUCACUAAUAAAUUUUGUUAUUAAUUAUUAUAGUAUAAUGUAUCUUUAUUAUAAUUGUUAUUUUCACGUAUUAAAUUAAUUAUUUUCGCACUAGUAAAUAAUAGUAAUAAAUAUAAUUAUUUAUUAUUAAUAAUAAUAAAUUGUUUAUUGCAGGUAGUAGGGGAGAAAAAUGCGAGGUGACUAUAGAACAAUGCAGUUUGGAAAAUAAAGAAUGUGAUUCAAAGUGCUUAGCUUACAUCACACCAGACAAUUUUUUAGGUUCGGAAUGUUUCUUAGCGCCACGUCACACCGACGAUAUACUAUUGUAGAUGCUUCUACAAUAUGUGCUGGCACUAGUGUUUGAUUUGAUGAUGGAUCAUUAAUUUCAUAUGAC